GCAUUGGUGGUUCAGUGGUAGAAUUCUCGCCUGCCACGCGGGAGGCCUGGGUUCGAUUCCUGGCCAAUGCA
rnacentral:tRNA from 2 species